rnacentral:rRNA from 1 species
CUGUCGUACGAUACUGUAUUAGUGUUGGAAUGAUGGGAAUUUAAACCUCUUCCAGAGUAUCAAUUGGAGGGCAAGUCUGGUGCCAGCAGCCGCGGUAAUUCCAGCUCCAAUAGCGUAUAUUAAAAUUGUUGCAGUUAAAAAGCUCGUAGUUGAAUUUCUGCUGCAUUACAUUUCUCUUGCUGAAUUUGGUUUUGCGGCCUAAUUCCGGUUGAAUUUUUCUUUCCUGAUGAAUAAUUUGAUAAAAAUAAAGUGCUCGAACCAAGCUUUUGCCUUGAAUAAUUUAUCAAGGAAGAAAAAAUUAAGAAUUUGGUUCUUUUUUUUUGGUUUUUUGUACCAAACUAAUGGUUGAUAAAA